rnacentral:RNase_P_RNA from 1 species
UGAGUCGGCUGAGUGGUUACUCUGAACUGUCUUGACACGUGUGUCGGGAGCAGUUCAGGGAGGAAAGUCCGGGCACCGCAGAACAGGAUGCCUCCUAACGGGAGGAGGCCCAUUACGGUGGGUUAUGGAUAGUGCAGCAGAAAGCAGACUUUCCCGAUAUUAAAAAUGUCGGGAUAAAGGUGAAACGGUGGUGUAAGAGACCACCAGUCCCCGUUGCAAAUCGGGGAGCUUGGUAAACCCCAUCCGGUGCAAGAUCGAAUAGGCUCCGAGACGUUGUUCGCGUCGCAAAUAGGGGCGGGUAGAUUGCUUGAUCCCGACAGUGAUGUUGGGCCCAGAGGAAUGACCACUGAUUCUCAUCCGCCAGCUGGCAGAUGGGAGGGACAAAACUCGGCUUACAGGCCGGCUCAGAUG